UACGUAGGUGGCAAGCGUUGUCCGGAAUUAUUGGGCGUAAAGCGCGCGCAGGUGGUUUCUUAAGUCUGAUGUGAAAGCCCACGGCUCAACCGUGGAGGGUCAUUGGAAACUGGGGAACUUGAGUGCAGAAGAGGAAAGUGGAAUUCCAAGUGUAGCGGUGAAAUGCGUAGAGAUUUGGAGGAACACCAGUGGCGAAGGCGACUUUCUGGUCUGUAACUGACACUGAGGCGCGAAAGCGUGGGGAGCGAACAGGAUUGAGAU
rnacentral:rRNA from 1 species